rnacentral:tRNA from 1 species
UCCCUGGUAGCUCAGCGGUUAAAAUGUCUGCCUGUAAUGCAGGAGACCCAGGUUUGAUCCCUGGGUUGGGAA